CUUGACUAUCCAUUGGCCCACGUGGGUAUCUACAGUAGAUUGAUAGCUCUGAGAGUUCUCAUUUGACCUUGUCACUUGGUUCGGUGAUAUUACAAUAGAAGUAGAAACUUUCAGCAGCCUGUAAGUGAGAACGGAAAUUAUAUUGAGAAAUCCAGAUGUGCAGUUGUGCAAGAGCAAGCUGGUGUGGAUUUUUGAAUGGAUAUUCUGAAGACAACUAGGUGCAUGUCCCAGCAAAGCUUCGCAAAGAUGUCAGUAUUAAUUGUCACCAUCCUCCAGGGAGAAAGCAACAGCCCACAAUUGCCUGCAUUUUCUUUCCUCUUCAAAACCACUUCUGCUCCAAAGACCAUGAACCUGAACUGAAGAAACGACUCCUUCCUGCUGGUGUGAGAUAAUUCAGUCUCCAUGAUGUCUUAAUCCUGGGCCUCCCUUAAUUGACUUCUAACUGUGCUGAACUGUGGCUGCUAGGAGUUGCAAUGUGGAUCGCAAUUUACAAGGAAGAGAAAAAGACCGGUCUCUGUUUGGAAAUUACAAACAUAGAAGAACUUAGAAACAAUGGGUUUCUAGAUUGGGUGGAAGGACUGGCUUGGGAUCCUGAGAGAGCAAGAAAAGUUUACCGGGAGCUUCAGAAAAAGUUAUUCAUCAUUUUUGGAGUGGAUAUUCAGAAGUGACUUCCCUCUUUUGCUCUGGUAGGUAUGGAUAUGAGACCUCAGAAACCCCAGAACUCCUCAUUCUUUGCCUGACAGAAAAGCCCACACAUGGGAAAGACAGCCAUAAAGAUCAAAAGUAGAGCCCCUGGACUAAAUUAAGAAAGCAACUUGCUCAACCUUUCCACAUCUAGUUCCGUGAGCAAUCCAUUUCCUCAUGUCCAAAACAGCUUGACUGGGGGUUUCGGUUACUUACAGCCCAAAGCACACCAACUGGUAUGGUCAUCAGAAUUUAAGGCUUUUAAGUACUUAAAAUUCUGAUUUUAAGGA
rnacentral:lncRNA from 1 species